UUGUUGCGGUUAAAAAGCUCGUAGUUGGUUCUGCGUGCCGCGCUGUCGGUUCGCCGCCUGUCGGUGUAACUGGCAUGUCGCGGCAUGUCCUGUCGGUGGUGAACGGAGUCCACAAUGCUACAUAGGCUUCAUAGCCGAUGUUAGCGUCGUGUGUACUUCCGUUGGCCGAUCUCUCCUACUUCGGUGCUCUUAAACGAGUGUCGAGGUAGGCCGACACGUUCACUUUGAACAAAUUAGAGUGCUUAAAGCAGGCUGAAAUAUCUGCCUGAAUAGUGGUGCAUGGAAUGAUAAAACAGGACCUCGGUUCUAUUUUGUUGGUUUUAGGAAUAUGAGGUAAUGAUCAAUGUGGACUGGCGGGGGCAUUCGUAUUGCGACGUUAGAGGUGAAAUUCUUGGAUCGUCGCAAGACGCACUAGAGCGAAAGCAUUUGCCAAGUAUGUCUUAAUUGAUCAAGAACGAAAGUUAGAGGUUCGAAGGCGAUCAGAUACCGCCCUAGUUCUAACCAUAAACGAUGCCAGCCAGCGAUCCGCCGAUGUUCCUUUAAUC
rnacentral:rRNA from 2 species